rnacentral:lncRNA from 1 species
ACUAGGCUCCUUCUUCUCCAAAGGUUCUGACACCUUCUGAUAGUACCAUGACCCAGUGACAAAGCCUUUAAUAUGUGGGCCUCUGGGGACAUUUCAGACCCAUACUAGAAGGUUCUCAUUUCCCUGAUGCUAACACCCAUAGGCAGAGACUCAGGACAACAACACCAGGGGCCGUUUACAGUAGGAGUGACUAGCAUAGACUGUUACAUUUUUAGAAGUACUUUUAAAUUGUGGUAGCAUUUAUGUAGUUCAACUUACCAUCCCAGCCAUCUUUAAUCUCAUAGUCCAAUGGCAUCAAAUAACCCCACCACCAUCCAUCUUCAGCCCCCUCCUUCAUCUUACAGAAUCAAACCCACCACAUUAAGCUCGAACUCCCCAGUUCCCUCAUCCCCAUCCCAGGAAGACUGUCUCUGUGUAGUGAUUACUCCAGGUAUUCAGGUACCUGGACUAACAUUUGCCUUUCUCCUUACAGGUUUAUUUUACUUAGCCCAAUGCUUUUCUGGUUUAACUUUGUAUUAUAUUUAACCAUGCUGUAGGAAGCACCGGGCUAUUCUUCCUUUCCACAGCUAGAUAAUAUUCCAUUGUGUAAACCUUGUCAUUCCUCCCUUGACAGGUACCUGCUGGCUUCAUUUUGGAGCUGUCGUGCGUUGUGCUGCUGUGAAUAUAGUUGUGCAAACGUCUCUUCAAGGUCCAGUUCCUCUGGGCUUGUGCCUGGUAGCCAGAUUGCAGAUCCUGUGCUGUUUGUUUUUGAGGAACCACAGCCCUGGUUUCCCUAGUGACUGCAUCAUCUUAAGCAGAUACAAGAAGGCGACCUGUGAUGCCUGAACGAAAAACUGAAGACUGAACAGACAUAUCCUAGCAAAAGAAAAAAAGAGGCCAGAGGGUCCCAGGCUGAAGAAACACAUGUGUAAUGUCCAGGGAGUCCCAGGGGCAGGGACAUUUGAAGACCCCAGAGCUUGGGUAAGGUAUGGAAUAUGGAGAAGAGGGGGAGAAUGUCCCUGCUGUGUGAAGGAGAUGGGCCACAUCCCUUUAAUGGUGAAGGUGAGAGACUCUGAGGAGAGAGGCCAUCUGAGGGAGUUUGUAAGGCUAUUUCUAUAGGGCAGCCUGCUAGGAGGUUUUACUCUUAAAGGGAAGCAGCCAGAGCAGGCUAGCAUGGCCUGGCCAAGCAGCCUGAGCACUCAGUGUGAGCUAGUGGAAGCUCAUCCAGUCUUACCAGUUGUUAGUCUGGCCCCUCUCCUGUCCAGUCAGCCUGAUUCUAUUAAUUCUUCAACCAGAGGCCUCUGAGGCCAGUUAGAUCUUGAUGUCAGCCUGCAAUGCUGUGGCCUCAGGGCACAGAAAGGACCCAGCAUGGCUACUCUACUGUCUUCACCUCAUGCCUGACUUCCUGGUUAAGCCAGGACGGGGUGUGGGCUUGCUGUGCCCACGUGUGAGAGUUUCUGUAAGUUUGCCUCUCUUGUUUCCGCAUGGUCUCCCUCAGCUUUCAGAUCUCAUUGAUCCAGCAACAUGGAGACCCCCAGAGGCUCAGAAACCGUCUUUAGUUCCCUGGGUGGUGUCAUUCCCUGGUGGUUAGACUGGGUCUUCUGUAGAUAUUGAAUGAAUGGAGAGUGAAGAAGGUCAGAGCCAGAAAGGACUUUGGGAGCCUUCUUCUGUUCAUGCCUUAACAUACAGAUGGGGAAACCUAGGCUCAGGGAGCCGAGCCUGCGUGAGAGCCAUCCAUCUUCAAGACUUUCUGGGCCAUUCUUAUCCCUAACUCCUUCAGAAGCAGCUGAUCUCACUGGCCUGCGACAUCAGGGAGAAGGGAAAUCAGUAGAGCCAGGCAGGCUGGACUCUGCGACCUUCUGACCUUCUCACAGAAGCCCCUGGAAAGGUCAGCUGCUCUUUCCAGCAGCUGUCAGCAUUCAGAGAAGCAGCUCUGACGCGUGGCUGAGGCAAGGAGCGAGGGAGGGAGGGACCUGGCAGAGAACCAAACUCCUCAGCAUGAGUCAUACAGACCAGAGCUUCUCGGGAGAUCAGAUGGGAACUGGGGAGGGGAAGGGUGACCAGAAGGAUAGCACGUGCGCAGGGGGAGGACGAGCUGGGUGUGUGCGUCUGUCCACUGUGCAGUCACCAAUCUGCUGGUGAGCCUGGAGGUAGGAGGGGGAGGGCUCCCUUCUGACAGCACCCUCUCUAUCUCACAAGGCCACCUCCUUCAGUUUUUCUUUCUCCCCCCUCUUCCCCCCCCCCCCACCCCCACACCCUUAUCCUCCUCCCAGCAUAACUUCCAGGGCACAUUGAAUUGGCUCUAUUUCCAGUGGCUUUUCUGAUGGGCAGCCCUGCAGGCAGGAGUAGCUUGCUCCCUUUUCUUGGGUGCAGGCUGCCUACAGAGCCUCUGCAUCCCUCUUUGCCUAUAGGAGAUGCUUCAGGUUUUCUGUGGAGACCUAGAAAGAAACAGAACCGGAAGGCAUCUGUCUUUCCACCAUCCUCUCCAUGAGGCUUGGGCAGGGUGAUCUCAGAGCCUUGUGAGCGGGCAAGGAGAGGGGGUGGGGCAAGGAGGUGGGGGUGGGUGGGUUGAGGAAUUUGUUUUAAGGAAAAGCAUGCAAAAUAAGUACAAAGUUAAUAUUUAUUCAGCAUGUGGAAUCAUAACCAAUUACACAUUUCGGAAAGCGAACUACACAGUCGUAAGACCCCAGCAAAACCAACAACACAGUUUAUAAAUUAUUAUGGAUCGUUGGUUGCCACUCAUCUGUAAUACUUUCAUCCUACAAGCAUUGGCUGCACGCUUUUUGAUGUCUUCAUAGGAUGGUAAUUUCUCAUCAUCAUUUACUACAGAGAGGAUUAAAAGAUAACUCCAUC